rnacentral:tRNA from 1 species
AAAGGUAAAGAAAAAAUAGAAAAAGAAAGAGCUCAGUUAAGAGGCCAUAUCACCAGAUAAACUGGAGAAAUGCAAAGGACCCAACCUUUACAGAAACCGAUUUCAUCACAGCUCUAUUGCACCAGCCGGGAAUCGAACCCGGGUCUGUACCGUGGCAGAGUACUAUUCUACCACUAGACCACUGGUGCUACUU